AACAUUACAGUGGUGCCCCGCAAGACGAAUGCCUCGCAAGACGGAAAAACCGCUAGACGAAAGGGUUUUCCGUUUUGAAGUUGCUUCGCAGGACGAAUUCCCCUAUGGGCUUGCUUCGCAAGACGAAAAUGUCUUGCGAGUCUUGAGAUUUUUUUCGCUUUUCCCCUUUAUCUAAUCUGCUAAGCCUUUAAUAGCCUUUAAUAGCCUUUUAGCAGCUAAUCCCCUAAGCCUUUAAGCCUUUAAUAGCCGCUAAACAGCUGAUAGCGCUAAUAGCGCUAAUCCGUCAAUGGGCUUGCUUCGCAAGACGAAAAAACCGCUAGACGAAGACUCUUGCGGAACGGAUUAAUUUCGUCUUGCGAGGCACCACUGUACUCAAGAAA